rnacentral:rRNA from 1 species
UACGGGGGGGGCAAGCGUUGUUCGGAAUUACUGGGCGUAAAGGGCUCGUAGGCGGCCAACUAAGUCAGACGUGAAAUCCCCAGGCUCAACCUGGGAACUGCGUCUGAUACUGGAUGGCUUGAAUCCGGGAGAGGGAUGCAGAAUUCCAGGUGUAGCGGUGAAAUGCGUAGAUAUCUGGAGGAAUACCGGUGGCGAAGGCGGCAUCCUGGACCGGCAUUGACGCUGAGGCGCGAAAGCUAGGGGAGCAAACGGG